rnacentral:lncRNA from 1 species
GAUGCAAAAGUAGAACAGUUAUGUUUUAGAUUUCUCAUGACUUGUCCCUCUUGUAACAUCACAGUGAUUGCACCAUGAUUUUCUCCCGAAUGUGAAACUUGAAGUUGUGGAUAAGCGAAACCCCAGUUUUAGACCUAAAUUCCACAUGGGAUUCCCAGGUUCAUUUUGAUGGCUGGGACCACAAACACUACUGCUGGGUGGAUGCAGACAGCCCUGACCCAUUGCAUGGUGUGAUGUCACAGGUCGUCCCCUGGAAGUGCCAUGUCGUGCGUAUCUUGCUGUUCAUGUUGUUGCUUUUCAAAGACUUAGUCUGAAGCCUAUCUCAGUGCUGUUUUUCUCGUGUCAUUGUAGGUAUUUUAAAGCUCAAUAUCACAUAGGUGAAUUGAUUAACCGGUAUUAUAGCAACACUGAAAGCCA